rnacentral:rRNA from 1 species
ACUCCUACGGGAGGCAGCAGUGGGGAAUUUUGGACAAUGGGGGCAACCCUGAUCCAGCCAUGCCGCGUGUGUGAAGAAGGCCUUCGGGUUGUAAAGCACUUUCGGCCGGAACGAAAUCGCGCGGAUUAAUACUCCGCGUGGAUGACGGUACCGGAAGAAGAAGCACCGGCUAACUCCGUGCCAGCAGCCGCGGUAAU